CCUGCGGAAGGAUCAUUGUCGAAACCUGCCCAGCAGAAUGACCGUGAACUUGUUUUUAACACAUCGGGAUCGCCGGGCUUUGUCCUWGUGAUUCCCGAGGAGGCGGGCUCGAGGGGGAUACAAUCCUUCACGUGUUCUGUCUCCAAAAACGAACCCCGGCGCGAGAUGCGCCAAGGAAUUACUAAGUAAAAGAGUGCGUGCCUCKGGUGCAGCCUGGAAACGGGACUUGCACARKUGGUGUCGCCUUUUGUAACAAUAUAACGACUCUCGGCAACGGAUAUCUCGGCUCUCGCAUCGAUGAAGAACGUAGCGAAAUGCGAUACUUGGUGUGAAUUGCAGAAUCCCGUGAACCAUCGAGUCUUUGAACGCAAGUUGCGCCCGAAGCCUUYUGGCUAAGGGCACGCCUGCCUGGGUGUCAUGCAUCGUCGCCCCCACACCCCGUUACGGGGAUUGCUGGGGCGGACAUUGGCCUCCCGUGCGCUCCCGCUMGCGGUUGGCCGAAAUGAGAGUUAUCGGCAGCCACUGGAGCCACAACUAGCGGUGGUUGAACARGCCCUCGGAUAGUGUUGUGUGYUGGCGUUGUUGUUGACUAGCUCGUAGACCCUCGUCUCUUGAGAUGCGAACAUCAUGCGACCCCAGGUCAGGCGGGAACACCCGCUGAGUUUAAGCA
rnacentral:rRNA from 1 species